rnacentral:rRNA from 1 species
GAUGAACGCUGGCGGCGUGCCUAAUACAUGCAAGUCGAGCGAACAGAUGAGGAGCUUGCUCCUCUGACGUUAGCGGCGGAAGGGUGAGUAACACGGGGAUAACCUACCUAUAAGACUGGGAUAACUUCGGGAAACCGGAGCUAAUACCGGAUAAUAUAUUGAACCGCAUGGUUCAAUAGUGAAAGACGGUUUUGCUGUCACUUAUAGAUGGAUCCGCGCCGCAUUAGCUAGUUGGUAAGGUAACGGCUUACCAAGGCAACGAUGCGUAGCCGACCUGAGAGGGGGAUCGGCCACACUGGAACUGAGACACGGUCCAGACUCCUACGGGAGGCAGCAGCAGGGAAUCUUCCGCAAUGGGCGAAAGCCUGACGGAGCAACGCCGCGUGAGUGAUGAAGGUCUUCGGAUCGUAAAACUCUGUUAUUAGGGAAGAACAAAUGUGUAAGUAACUAUGCACGUCUUGACGGUACCUAAUCAGAAAGCCACGGCUAACUACGUG